UCCGAUCUGGGAGCGCAGUGGUGCUGUAUCCUGAAGGUCCGGCUGCAACACAUACUCAUAGCUUGAAGCAAGUUGUACAUUACUGGGUUGCUCUAGGGGUUGGGAACCAAAACUGGAAAGAGACACAUAACUUGACUGCUCUGGCAUAGAAGGGAGCUGGAAUCCAGGCUGAAGAGACACAGAUUGGCCACUGGGCUGGGACACAGACUGGUACUGGUUUGUGCUGACUGCAAUCGACUGAGAUGGGAUAGAGCCUGGUACCUGGUUUGUGCUGACUGUGGGCCACUGGGUUGAGACACAGGCUGGUAUCGGGUCAGUCCUGGUUUUUGGCCACUAGGCUGUUGCAUAGACUGGUAGCUGGUUUGUGCUGACUGCAGGCCACUAGGUUGGGGCAAUGACUGGUAGCUGGUUUGUGCUGACUGCAGGCCACUAGGUUGAGAGACAGGCUGGUAUCGGUUCAGUC